AGAGUUUGAUCCUGGCUCAGGAUGAACGCUAGCGGCAGGCUUAACACAUGCAAGUCGAGGGGCAGCGGGGAGGAAGCUUGCUUUCUCCGCCGGCGACCGGCGCACGGGUGAGUAACACGUAUGCAACCUGCCCCUGUCAGGGGGACAACCCGCCGAAAGGCGGGCUAAACCCGCGUACAUGCCACCGGGGCAUCCCGGAGGCAGGAAAGGCUUCGGCCGGACAGGGAUGGGCAUGCGGCGCAUUAGGCAGUAGGCGGGGUAACGGCCCACCUAACCGACGAUGCGUAGGGGUUCUGAGAGGAAGGUCCCCCACACUGGUACUGAGACACGGACCAGACUCCUACGGGAGGCAGCAGUGAGGAAUAUUGGUCAAUGGUCGGGAGACUGAACCAGCCAAGCCGCGUGAGGGAGGAAGGUACAGAGUAUCGUAAACCUCUUUUGUCAGGGAACAAAGGCGGGGACGUGUCCCCGGAUGAGUGUACCUGAAGAAAAAGCAUCGGCUAACUCCGUGCCAGCAGCCGCGGUAAUACGGAGGAUGCGAGCGUUAUCCGGAUUUAUUGGGUUUAAAGGGUGCGCAGGCGGUCUGUUAAGUCAGCGGUCAAAGCCCGGGGCUCAACCCCGGCCCGCCGUUGAAACUGGCAGUCUCGAGUUGGAGAGAAGUAUGCGGAAUGCGCGGUGUAGCGGUGAAAUGCAUAGAUAUCGCGCAGAACUCCGAUUGCGAAGGCAGCAUGCCGGCUCCACACUGACGCUGAGGCACGAAAGCGUGGGUAUCGAACAGGAUUAGAUACCCUGGUAGUCCACGCAGUAAACGAUGAAUGCUGGCUGUCCGGGGGGACUGACCCCUGGGUGGCGAAGCGAAAGCGAUAAGCAUUCCACCUGGGGAGUACGCCGGCAACGGUGAAACUCAAAGGAAUUGACGGGGGCCCGCACAAGCGGAGGAACAUGUGGUUUAAUUCGAUGAUACGCGAGGAACCUUACCCGGGCUCAAACGGGGAGUGACUCAGGCAGAGACGCCUGUUUCCCACGGGACACUCCCCGAGGUGCUGCAUGGUUGUCGUCAGCUCGUGCCGUGAGGUGUCGGCUUAAGUGCCAUAACGAGCGCAACCCCCGCGUGCAGUUGCUAACAGAUAACGCUGAGGACUCUGCACGGACUGCCGGCGCAAGCCGCGAGGAAGGCGGGGAUGACGUCAAAUCAGCACGGCCCUUACGUCCGGGGCGACACACGUGUUACAAUGGGUGGUACAGCGGGAAGCCAGGCGGCGACGCCGAGCGGAACCCGAAAUCCACUCUCAGUUCGGAUCGGAGUCUGCAACCCGACUCCGUGAAGCUGGAUUCGCUAGUAAUCGCGCAUCAGCCAUGGCGCGGUGAAUACGUUCCCGGGCCUUGUACUCACCGCCCGUCA
rnacentral:rRNA from 1 species